ACGGCUCAGUAACACGUGGAUAACCUGCCCUUGGGUCCGGCAUAACCCCGGGAAACUGGGGAUAAUUCCGGAUAACGCACAUAUGCUGGAAUGCUUUAUGCGUAAAAUGGAUUCGUCUGCCCAAGGAUGGGUCUGCGGCCUAUCAGGUAGUAGUGGGUGUAAUGUACCUACUAGCCAACAACGGGUACGGGUUGUGAGAGCAAGAGCCCGGAGAUGGAUUCUGAGACAUGAAUCCAGGCCCUACGGGGCGCAGCAGGCGCGAAAACUUUACAAUGCGGGAAACCGUGAUAAGGGGACACCGAGUGCCAGCGUCAUACGCUGGCUGUCCAGGUGUGUAAAAUACACCUGUUAGCAAGGGCCGGGCAAGACCGGUGCCAGCCGCCGCGGUAACACCGGCGGCCCGAGUGGUGAUCGUGAUUAUUGGGUCUAAAGGGUCCGUAGCCGGUUUGGUCAGUCCUCCGGGAAAUCUGAUAGCUCAACUAUUAGGCUUUCGGGGGAUACUGCCAGACUUGGAACCGGGAGAGGUAAGAGGU
rnacentral:rRNA from 1 species